rnacentral:piRNA from 4 species
AACUAGCCCUGAAAAUGGAUGGCGCUGG